rnacentral:lncRNA from 1 species
CUAAAUUGUUGUAGUUACAAGUCUGUUAAUACAAUGCUCUUGAUUCCUGUCUUGUGCUGAUCAUCUGGGAGGAAUCAAAGCAAUCAGCAUUAUACUGCUAAAACAUGCUGCCCAAAACUGUCAUCAUUUCACAUUCUCAGGACACAUCUUACAAAGGACACGUUGAAAUGCCACAUGCUGUUGGUGAGAAUGACCCCUAUUCCAGACUCUACUUUUCAAGUUCAGAGAAAAAAAAAAUUUAAUCUCAUUUGGGACAUCAACUAUUAUAACUGUUGUGAUUUUCAAGAUCUG